AUUGAACGCUGGCGGUAUGCUUAACACAUGCAAGUCGAACGGUAGCAGCUCUAGCUUGCUAGAGGCUGACGAGUGGCGGACGGGUGAGUAACGCGUAGGAAUCUGCCCAUCAGUAGAGGACAACUCGGGGAAACUCGAGCUAAUACUGUAUAUUACUCUACGGAGGAAAGUAAGGGACCUUAUGGCCUUACGCUGAUGGAUGAGCCUGCGUCGGAUUAGCUAGUUGGUGGGUAAAGGCCUACCAAGGCGACGAUCCGUAGCUGUUCUGAGAGGAAGAUCAGCCACACUGGGACUGAGACACGGCCCAGACUCCUACGGGAGGCAGCAGUGGGGAAUAUUGGACAAUGGGGGCAACCCUGAUCCAGCAAUACCGCGUGUGUGAAGAAGGCCUGCGGGUUGUAAAGCUCUUUCACCUGCGAAGAUGAUGACGGUAGCAGGAGAAGAAGCCCCGGCUAACUCCGUG
rnacentral:rRNA from 1 species